rnacentral:rRNA from 1 species
UUUAUUGGAGAGUUUGAUCCUGGCUCAGGAUGAACGCUGGCGGCGUGCCUAAUACAUGCAAGUCGAGCGAAUGGAUUGAGAGCUUGCUCUCAAGAAGUUAGCGGCGGACGGGUGAGUAACACGUGGGUAACCUGCCCAUAAGACUGGGAUAACUCCGGGAAACCGGGGCUAAUACCGGAUAACAUUUUGAACUGCAUGGUUCGAAAUUGAAAGGCGGCUUCGGCUGUCACUUAUGGAUGG